rnacentral:rRNA from 1 species
CAGUAGCCGCGGUAAUACGGAGGGUGCAAGCGUUAAUCGGAAUUACUGGGCGUAAAGCGCACGCAGGCGGUUUGUUAAGUCAGAUGUGAAAUCCCCGAGCUUAACUUGGGAACUGCAUUUGAAACUGGCAAGCUAGAGUCUUGUAGAGGGGGGUAGAAUUCCAGGUGUAGCGGUGAAAUGCGUAGAGAUCUGGAGGAAUACCGGUGGCGAAGGCGGCCCCCUGGACAAAGACUGACGCUCAGGUGCGAAAGCGUGGGGAGCAAACAGGAUUAGAUACCCCAGUAGUCCCUGUCUCUUAUAC